rnacentral:tmRNA from 2 species
CUUUAGCAGCUUAAUAACCUGCUCUGAGCCCUCUCUCCCUAGCUUCCGCUCUUAAGACGGGGAUCAAAGAGAGGUCAAACCCAAAAGAGAUCGCGUGGAAGCCCUGCCUGGGGUUGAAGCGUUAAAACUAAUCAGGCUAGUUCGUUAGUGGCGUGUCUGUCCGCAGCUGGCGUGCGAAUGUAAAGACAAACUAAGCAUGUAGUACCGAGGAUGUAGAAAUUUCGGACGCGGGUUCAACUCCCGCCAGCUCCACCA